GCUCAUUAUCAUAAAGUAAACGAUAUAUAUGUACUGUUUAGCAUCACCGAUACGAAGUCUGUCGCUUCAUCGAAAGCAAACCGCAUUUUAAAUCGUUCAUAAAUCAUUAUACAUUUGAAAGGCUAUACAUUUUGUUGUAUUUGUUGCUAAAGUUUUUAACUUAAGAAUUAAUGAUCCAAUGAAAGAUCUAAGCUUCCAGGAAACAAAAAUAUAACAUUUUGAUUUUAAGCCGCCAUCUUGGAUUUUUAGCGUUUCAACGUGAAAACGCUUGUCCGAAAACGUUUUUAGCAUUGAGAACGUUUUCGUCAUAAGAUGACGUUUUCAUCCGUUUUCGUGUGGACACGGCUUGAAAACGACACUCUUUGAAAACGUUACAGCUGAAAACGCUCGAAAACGUUACCGUGUGCACAUAGUCUUUGU